AUGCCCGUCAUUAGAGCCGCUAGCCAUAUUUGAAAAAAAACCCUAAUCUUAAAUUGGGUAAAUUAUUUUAUUUCAUUUUUUUAAUUCGAAAUUUUUGUAUGUUUAAUGUCUUGUUAGGUAAAAACCCUAAUUUCUAAUUAGGUACAUAGAUUACUGACAGAAACUCUAGCUGAUAUGAUAUAUUUUAUUUUAUUUUAUUUAUUUAUUAUUAUUAUGUUGAAUAAAUUGUUUGUGUGGUACUAGUGACAAAGAUUUUGAAGCUUUAGAGAACAAAUAGUCAGAUUGAAGACAACUGUAAGAAGAAAGUUCCAGGUUUUGAGUUUAAAAUUGUGCGUUUGGACUGUAUGUGAACAAGAACUAACAUAAUUAAGUUGGGGAAAAAUAACCGAGGCUGAAACACUUGUGCAAUUGAGCAGGAAGAAGUGAAGGUUUAAAGAGUCGACCCUGUUGGUAUACAAAGAUGAUACCUAUAAUUAUGUACCGAGGAUAGAAGAUUUUGAGAUUAUAUUUGCAGCAAAUGAUGGUUAGUUGUUGAAAUAUAAUGGUUUGGUUAUUGGUAUUCCUUUUAUUUUAGAAUUAUUUGUUGUUUAUUGUGCAAUAAUUUUAAGUUAAAUUUCAUGUUUGAUUUCUAGUUCUGCAACACCUGAUACAUGUAAAGAUGAUCGAAGAUGAGAGUGAGAAUUUGAGCAACCUGUGUGUGUGGUGAAGGUAUGCUACUUUAAUAAUUUACUAAUUUUAAGUCAUACAUUUUGUUACAAUUCUUCUCUUAUCUUUAUGAUAAAUCUAAUAUUCUGACUAUUCUUUUAUACUCUUUCUACUCGAUGCAUCUUGCUUUACCACGCUAUGUGUUGCAUACAAUAUUAUGAUCUAUCAGAUAUUGUCAUAAGUUUCUCAUUUUGUCUCUUUUCUCUUCUCUGUCCUUUGUUCUUUGUUCCAUUGCAUUAAUUUUUUAUUUUG